rfam:Picea glauca, whole genome shotgun sequence.
GGGUGCGAUAAUACCAGCAUUAAUGGACCAAAUCCCAUCAGAACUCCACAGUUAAGCGCGCUUGGGCCAGAGUAGUACCGGGACGGGUAACCUCCCAGGAAGUCCUAGUGUUGCACCCU